rnacentral:rRNA from 1 species
UACGAAGGGGGGCUAGCGUUGCUCGGAAUGACUGGGCGUAAAGGGCGCGUAGGCGGCUGUGACAGUCAGAUGUGAAAUUCCUGGGCUCAACCUGGGGGCUGCAUUUGAUACGUGAUGGCUGGAGUGGGGAAGAGGGUCGUGGAAUUCCCAGUGUAGAGGUGAAAUGCGUUAGAGAUUAGGAAGAACACCAGUGGCGAAGGCGACUUACUGGACUGUAACUGACG